CCCUUAGAUGUUCUGGGCCGCACGCGUGCUACACUGAGUGGAUCAGCGGGUCAGGUUGCGCGAAAGCGUUUCCUAAUCUUUAAAUCCGCUCGUGAUGGGGAUUGACGGGUGCAAUUUUCUGUCAUGAACGAGGAAUACCUUGUAAGCGCGGGUCAUCAUCCCGCGCUGAAUACGUCCCUGCCCUUUGUACACACCGCCCGUCGCUCCUACCGAUUGAGUGGUCCGGUGAGGCUUUGGGAUCUGAGCGGAAAGAGCGUUUCGCUGUUUCUGCUCGGAAAACUCAGUCGAACCUUAUCAUUUAGAGGAAGGAGAAGUCGUAACA
rnacentral:rRNA from 1 species